rnacentral:rRNA from 1 species
GCAGCAGCCGCGGGAAUACGAAGGGUGCAAGCGUUAAUCGGAAUUACUGGGCGUAAAGCGUGCGUAGGCGGUUUGUUAAGUCUGCUGUGAAAUCCCCGGGCUCAACCUGGGAAUGGCAGUGGAUACUGGCAAGCUAGAGUGUGUCAGAGGAUGGUGGAAUUCCCGGUGUAGCGGUGAAAUGCGUAGAGAUCGGGAGGAACAUCAGUGGCGAAGGCGGCCAUCUGGGACAACACUGACGCUGAGGCACGAAAGCGUGGGGAGCAAACAGGAUUAGAUACCCCUGUAGUCCCUGUCUCUUAUAC